rnacentral:rRNA from 1 species
UACGGGAGGCAGCAGUGGGGAAUAUUGCACAAUGGGCGCAAGCCUGAUGCAGCCAUGCCGCGUGUAUGAAGAAGGCCUUCGGGUUGUAAAGUACUUUCAGUCGUGAGGAAGGUGUUAAGGUUAAUAACCUUAGCAAUUGACGUUAGCGACAGAAGAAGCACCGGCUAACUCCGUGCCAGCAGCCGCGGUAAUACGGAGGGUGCGAGCGUUAAUCGGAAUUACUGGGCGUAAAGGGCACGCAGGCGGUUAAUUAAGUUGGAUGUGAAAUCCCCGGGCUUAACCUGGGAAUGGCAUUCAAGACUGGUUAGCUAGAGUCUUGUAGAGGGGGUAGAAUUCCGAUGUGUAGCGGUGAAAUGCGUAGAGAUGUGGAGGAAUACCGGUGGCGAAGGCGGCCCCUGGGACAAAGACUGACGCUCAUGUGCGAAAGCGUGGGGAGCAAAC